rnacentral:rRNA from 1 species
UACGUAGGCAGCGAGCGUUGUUCGGAGUUACUGGGCGUAAAGGGUGUGUAGGCGGUUUUCUAAGUUUGGUGUGAAAUCUCCCCGGCUCAACCGGGAGGGUGCGCCCGAAAACUGGGAGACUAGAGUGCGGGAUGGGAGAGUAGAAUUCCUGGUGUAGCGGUGAAAUGCGUAGAUAUCGGGAAGAACACCCGUGGCGAAGGCGGCACUCUGGGACGGUACUGACGCUGAGACGCGAAAGCGUGGGGGAGCGAACAGG